rnacentral:antisense_RNA from 1 species
UCCUAACAACAAACUUUUUUUUCAUUUACUCUCAUGAGUAAAACUCCUUUCUCAUCUUCUUAUGAAGGUGAGAUUUUUUU